ACAGGGGAUGCAAGUGUUAUCCGGAUUCAUUGGGCGUAAAGCGUCUGCAGGUGGAUAUCUAAGUCUGUUGUUAAAUCUUUGGGCUUAACCCAAAAUCUGCAACAGAAACUAUAUAUCUCGAGUAUGGUAGAGGUAAAGGGAAUUUCCGGUGGAGCGGUGAAAUGCGUAGAUAUCGGAAAGAACACCAACUGCGAAGGCGCUUUACUGGGCCAUUACUGACACUCAGAGACGAAAGCUAAGGGAGCAAACAGGAUUAGAUACCCUGGUAGUCUUAGCUGUAAACGAUGGAUACUAGAUGUUGUGUAUCUUUGAUAUGCAGUGUCGUAGCUAACGCGAUAAGUAUCCCGCCUGGGAAGUAUGCUCGCAAGAGUG
rnacentral:rRNA from 1 species